UACGUAGGGGGCGAGCGUUGUCCGGAAUCAUUGGGCGUAAAGCGCGUGUAGGCGGCUCGGUAAGUCUGCUGUGAAAGUCCAGGGCUCAACCCUGGAAUGCCGGUGGAUACUGUCGAGCUCGAGUCCGGAAGAGGCGAGUGGAAUUCCUGGUGUAGCGGUGAAAUGCGCAGAUAUCAGGAGGAACACCAAUGGCGAAGGCAGCUCGCUGGGACGUGACUGACGCUGAGACGCGAAAGCGUGGGGAGCAAACAGG
rnacentral:rRNA from 1 species